AACGAACGCUGGCGGCAGGCUUAACACAUGCAAGUCGAGCGCUGUAGCAAUACAGAGCGGCAGACGGGUGAGUAACGCGUGGGAAUCUACCCAUCUCUACGGAAUAACGCAUGGAAACGUGUGCUAAUACCGUAUACGCCCCCCUUUGGUGGACAUUGGGGGGGAAAGAUUUAUCGGGGAUGGAUGAGCCCGCGUUGGAUUAGCUAGUUGGUGGGGUAAAGGCCUACCAAGGCGACGAUCCAUAGCUGGUCUGAGAGGAUGAUCAGCCACAUUGGGACUGAGACACGGCCCAAACUCCUACGGGAGGCAGCAGUGGGAAAUAUUGGACAAUGGGCGCAAGCCUGAUCCAGCCAUGCCGCGUGAGUGAUGAAGGCCCUAGGGUUGUAAAGCUCUUUCACCGGUGAAGAUAAUGACGGUAACCGGAGAAGAAGCCCCGGCUAACUUCGUGCCAGCCGCCGCAGUAAAAC
rnacentral:rRNA from 1 species